AAACUGCGAUAAGUAGUGUGAAUUGCAUUUAGUGAAUCAUCGAAUCUUUGAACGCACCCUGCACUCACUGGUAUUCCGGUGAGUACGCCUGUUUCAGUAUCAUUGAAAACACACAAUCAAAACAUUUUCUUUGGUUUGAUUGGCUUUGGGUCUAUCAAAAAGUUUGGCUUGUUUCUUACAAGCCAAGCGGCCUGAAAUAUAUUGUCUGGCUAAUUGCAUCGUUGAUGAUCGCUAUUAGACUUUGGCUUUUUUAAAUGAACUGGAGGUUGAUUAACCAGUUUUAGCUUUAGUCAAAUGGUCAUUGUAAAAAAAAUCUCGAUCUUGGCUAGGUGUUUAUAGCCGAAAAUUUUUUUUUGGCUAUAACCGAAACCAAUAUAAUCACAUUUAGUUAUCGAUCUGAAAUCAGGUGGCACUACCCGCUGAACUUAAGC
rnacentral:misc_RNA from 1 species